UGAAUUUUCUCAAUAUCUGAAUGACCC
rnacentral:piRNA from 1 species